AAGUCGAAUGGUAACAGGAAACAGCUUGCUGUUUCGCUGACGAGUGGCGGACGGGUGAGUAAUGUCUGGGAAACUGCCUGAUGGAGGGGGAUAACUACUGGAAACGGUAGCUAAUACCGCAUAACGUCGCAAGGCCAAAGAGGGGGACCUUCGGGCCUCUUGCCAUCAGAUGUGCCCAGAUGGGAUUAGCUAGUAGGUGGGGUAACGGCUCACCUAGGCGACGAUCCCUAGCUGGUCUGAGAGGAUGACCAGCCACACUGGAACUGAGACACGGUCCAGACUCCUACGGGAGGCAGCAGUGGGGAAUAUUGCACAAUGGGCGCAAGCCUGAUGCAGCCAUGCCGCGUGUAUGAAGAAGGCCUUCGGGUUGUAAAGUACUUUCAGCGGGGAGGAAGGGAGUAAAGUUAAUACCUUUGCUCAUUGACGUUACCCGCAGAAGAAGCACCGGCUAACUCCGUGCCAGCAGCCGCGGUAAUACGGAGGGUGCAAGCGUUAAUCGGAAUUACUGGGCGUAAAGCGCACGCAGGCGGUUUGUUAAGUCAGAUGUGAAUCCCCGGGCUCAACCUGGGAACUGCAUCUGAUACUGGCAAGCUUGAGUCUCGUAGAGGGGGGUAGAAUUCCAGGUGUAGCGGUGAAAUGCGUAGAGAUCUGGAGGAAUACCGGUGGCG
rnacentral:rRNA from 1 species